GAUGAACGCUGACAGAAUGCUUAACACAUGCAAGUCUUUGGCGAAGCUGUGCUUGCACAGCCUAGCCAAGGCGGACGGGUGAGUAACGCGUAAGGAAAUUGCCCUGCAGUCAGGGAUAACAGACGGAAACGACUGAUAAGACCUGGUAAAGUCAGGCGGCCACAUGUCCAGCCAGAUGAAAAGAGAUGCUGCAGGAGAGCCUUGCGUCCUAUUAGCUUGUUGGUGGGGUAACGGCCCACCAAGGCGAUGAUAGGUAGCCGGCCUGAGAGGGUGGACGGCCACAAGGGGACUGAGAUACGACCCUUACUCCUACGGGAGGCAGCAGUGGGGAAUAUUGGACAAUGGGGGCAACCCUGAUCCAGCAAUUCUGUGUGCACGAUGAAGGUUUUCGGAUUGUAAAGUGCUUUCAGCAGGGAAGAAAAAAAUGACGGUACCUGCAGAAGAAGCGACGGCUAAAUACGUG
rnacentral:rRNA from 1 species